GUCGAACGGUAGAGGGGGCAACCCCUUGAGUGUGGCGAACGGGUGAGUAAUGUAUCGGAACGUGCCCAGUCGUGGGGGAUAACGUAGUGAAAAUUACGCUAAUACCGCAUACGAUCUAUGGAUGAAAGCGGGGGAUCGCAAGACCUCGCGCGAUUGGAGCGGCCGAUAUCAGAUUAGGUAGUUGGUAGGGUAAAGGCCUACCAAGCCAACGAUCUGUAGCUGGUCUGAGAGGACGACCAGCCACACUGGAACUGAGACACGGUCCAGACUCCUACGGGAGGCAGCAGUGGGGAAUUUUGGACAAUGGGCGAAAGCCUGAUCCAGCCAUUCCGCGUGCAGGAUGAAGGCCCUCGGGUUGUAAACUGCUUUUGUACAGAACGAAAAGGUUUCUAUUAAUACUAGGAGUUCAUGACGGUACUGUAAGAAUAAGCACCGGCUAACUACGUGCCAGCAGCCGCGGUAAUACGUAGGGUGCAAGCGUUAAUCGGAAUUACUGGGCGUAAAGCGUGCGCAGGCGGUUAUAUAAGUCAGAUGUGAAAUCCCCGGGCUCAACCUGGGAACUGCAUUUGAGACUGUAUCGCUAGAGUACGGUAGAGGGGGAUGGAAUUCCGCGUGUAGCAGUGAAAUGCGUAGAUAUGCGGAGGAACACCGAUGGCGAAGGCAAUCCCCUGGACCUGUACUGACGCUCAUGCACGAAAGCGUGGGGAGCAAACAGGAUUAGAUACCCUGGUAGUCCACGCCCUAAACGAU
rnacentral:rRNA from 1 species